CAGAGCAGGCCUGGGCAGUGUCUGGGUGGGGCCUGGGAGCCACAGGAGACGCCCAAAGCCAGGCAGAGCCCGGGGGCGAGGGGGCGGCAGGCAGGUGUAGCGCUGCCCUGGGCGGGCUUGCACCCCCACACCCAAGUGAGCGGCCUGCUCACUCCUCAGCUGCAGGAGCCAGACAUGUGGAGUCCCAGCAGAGGCCAACCUGUGUCUCUUCAUCUCCGUGAGAAAGGUGCCCCCGAAGUGAAAGAGAUGGCCUGGUGGAAAGCCUGGGACUCAGGAAUUCUCCCACUCCGGAAUGCCUUGCUGCUGGGGUGACCAGGUCUUCACUUGUGAAACAGGAGUCGGCCACCUCAGCCCUGCGCCUGGCCUGGUGGAACAUGGGUCACCGCCCCAACCUGGGGCAGCCGCCCCAUCCCAACGCAGUUGCUGCCGCUCUCCAUGCCUCCCUGUGCCCAGCUAACCGGGGGACUUGUCCCCUGGGAAAACCUGGGUACCCAGGCUGCCUUUGGUUUCAGCCCCUACUCCUCUUCCCGGGCUGCCUGUGCUCCCCGGACGGCCCCUUUCCCCGGGCUGUGUUCACAUCAGCUGGGAAGGGUCCCUUGCAGACAGAUCUUGGACGAGGUCGCGUCCCCCCUCGUGACCAGCAAACUCCUAAAAGCGGCCCUUGCCCCAGAGCCCCUGUAGCCUCCAACCGGCAGUCAGGAGGCAGCGCCGUCUCAGCGCCGCUUAGUGGCGCCAGGCGUGCCUGGAAAUCCGCUUUCGCAGCGCCCCCUCGUAGCCGCCUCCGCCCGCAGAAAGGCGUUCCCUGGACAGAGAAGCGGGCGCGCGGGGGCGGGCGCGCGGGGCCUUGCCGGAGAACCUGACUCUCCGCAGCAGCAGUGGAAGCCGGAGUGACGCGUUGUGUUGAACACCAGUUUUCUGGAGCGCUGUGUGUUCUCAACAGCUGAGCAGUCUGUUUCUCCAAUCAGGUUUCAAAGCCACUUCAACUGCACUGGCCCCUGUGGGUCACUGCUGCACCGCCCUGGCCCAUGUGGGUCCCUGAGGAGCGACCUGCCGGGGCCACCUGGCUGGACGAAAAAGACACACCUUGGACUUAAGCCGUGAGAAAAAAACUUCAUCAGUAAGAAACAAGUCAAUAGACAAGUAAAAGACUAGGAGAAAAUAUGCAUAAAACAUAAAAAAGUGACUUGAUUCCUGAUUCUGGAGUAUUUAAGAAUUCCUAUAACUCAACAAAAAGUUCAGUUUUUUAAAAUGAGCAAAAGGCUUGGGUAAACUAUUCACAAAGGAACGUAGACAAAUGCCAGUACACACAUGAGAAGCGCAUACACAUCCACAAACUUCAAACAAGCCCACCUCAUGUAUUUCUAGUGAGUAAGGAAAAGAACGCAAACACUUUUGAAAAUUGUUUGGUUGUUUCUUGUAAAUUUAAACAAAUACCCUAUUAUAUUAUCCAGCGAGUCCAUCCUUAGGUUUUUAUCCAAGGAUAAAGAGGUGAAAACUCAUAUCUAACAAAUAGACUUCUGAAAAGAUGAAAAUAGAAGCUUUAUUCAUAAAAGACAAAAACUGGAAAUAACCCAAAUAUUCAUUCACAGGAGAAUGAAUAAACAGACUAGGUUGAAUCCAUACAAUGGAAUGGUAGCAGACAAUAAAAAGAAAAUGAACUAUUGAUGCCCCCUACUGCACAGCAGAAGCUCUGAAUCGUGUUCCUGAAUGAAAGAAGUCAGGCAGGUUCUUCAGGAGGGAUUCCAGAACAAGGCACUCUCAUCACAGGAGAUGACAGCUCCAUGUGCAUGACGGCCCCAGAAGACCAUCUGGUAGGACAAGAUGUGGAGGUGGAACGCAGUGAUAUUGAUAAUCCUGACCCUGGGUAGGUGUGGGCUAAUGUGUGUGUCUUCAUUUUAAUUUUUUUCUAAUUUAAAAUGUAAAAAAAGAAAAAAAGCUUAUAGGAUAAGGAUAUAAAGAAAGAAAAUAUUUUUGUACAGUUAUACAACGUGUGUCUUAAGCUAAGUAUUAAUAUAAAAAAGUCAAAAAGUUAAAAAAAUAAAGUUGAUAACAUAAAGAAGCUAAGGUUCAUUUAUUAUUGAAGGAAGAAAAAAAUUUAAAAUACAUUUAGUGUAGCCUAAGUUUAUAGUGUUUAUAAAAUCUGUAAUAGUGUACAAUGAUGUCCUGGGACUUCACAUUCACUCACCACUCACUCACUAGCUCAUCCAGAGCAAUUUCCAGACCUGCAAGCUUCAUUCAUGGUAGAUGCCCCACAGAGGUGCACUACUUUUUGUCUUCUAUGCUGUAUUUUCACUCUACCCUUCCUAUGUUUAGCUAUGUUUGGAUAUACAAAUAUUACCAUGUUACAGUUGCCUGCAGUAUUCAGUACAGUCACAUGCUGCACAGAUUGGUAGCCUAGGAGCAACAGGCUAUGCCAUAGAGCCCAGGUAUGUAAUGGGCUGUACCAUUUAGGUUUGUGUAAGUACACUCUAUGAUGUUCACACAAUGACAAAAUCCCCUAAUGAUGUGUUUCUGAGAACGCAUCACUGUCAUUGAGCAUCGUUGUGUAUUAAUCCAUUUUCAAGCUGCUGAUAGAGACAUACCCAAGACUGGGCAAUUUACAAAAAAAAAAAAAAAGAUUUAAUGGACUUACAGUUCCAGGUGGCUGGGGAGGCCUCACAAUCACGGCGGGAGGCAAGGAGGAGCAAGUCGCGUCUUACAUGGUUAGCAGCAGGCAAAGAGAGAGCUUGUGCAAGGGAACUCCCCCUUAUAAUACCAUCACAUCUCAUGAGGUUUAUUCACUAUCAUGAGAACAGCACAGUAAAGAUCUGCCCCCAUGAUUCCAUUGCCCUCCACUGGGUCCCUCCCACAACACAUGGGAAUUCAAGAUGAGAUUUGGGUGGGGACACAGCCAAACUAUACCACCAUGACUGUAGUCUCUUGUGUGGGCUCCUUUCACUCAUCAUAAUGUUUCUGGGCUCCAUUCUCCUUGUCAUGUGUAUCUGUAAUCUCUCCUGCUUUAAUGUUGGGUAGUGUUCCAUUCUGCAGCAAUAUCACAAUUUGCUUAUCCAUUCUACUGUCUGGGGUUUUUCCCCAGUUUGAGGCUACUAAAAUUGUUAUAAAUAUUUGUUUAUAAGUCCUUGUGAACACAGGUGUUUUUAUUCCUCUUGAAUAAAUAAAUACCUAGGAGAGGAAUUUCUGUUUUUUUUUUAUUUUUAUGGGUACAUAGUAGGUGUAUAUAUUUAUGGAGUACAUGAGGUGUUUUGAUACAGGCAUGCAAUGCGUAAUAAUCACAUCAGGGUAAACAAGGUAUCCAUCACCUCAAGCAUUUAUCAUUUCUUUGUGAUACAAAAAUUCCAAUUAUACACGCUUACUUAUUUUUAAAUAUACUAAAAAUUAUUGUUGACUGGCCAACCUGUUGUGCUAUCAAAUACUGCAUCUUAUUCAUUGUAUUUAACUCUACUUUUGUACCCAUUAACCAUCUCCAUUUCCCACCCUCCACACCCACAACCUUUUCCCAGCUCUGGUGACCAUCAUUCCACUCUCUAUCUCCAUGAGUUCAAUAUUUUUAAUUUUUAGCUCCCACAAAUGAGUAAGAACAUGCAAAAUUUGUGUUUCUGUGCCUUUUUUAUUUCAUUUAACAUUAUGUCCUCUAAUUCCAUCCAUGUUGUUGUAAAUGACAGGAUCUUAUUCUUUUUUAUGGCUGAAUCGUACUCCAUCGUAUAUAUGUACCACAGUUUCUUUAUCCAUUUGUCUAUUGUUGAACAAUUAGAGUGAUUUCAAAUCUUGGCUAUUGUGAAUAGUGUUGCAAUAAACAUGGAAGUGCAGCUGUCUCUUUGAUAUACUAAUUUCCUUUCUUUUGGGUAUUUACCUACCAGUAGGAUUGCUGGAUCAUAGGGUAGUUCUAUUUUCAGUUGUUUGGGGAACCUCCAUACUGUUCAUCCUAGUGGCUGUAUUAAUUUACAUUCCCACCAACAGUGUAUAAGGGUUCACUUUUCUCCACAUCCUCACCAACAUUUGUUAUUGCCUUUCUUGGAUAAAAGCCACUUUAACCGGGUUGACAUGAGAUCCCAUUGUAGUUUUGAUUUGCAUAUCUCUGACAAUCAAUGAUGUUGAGCACCUUUUCAUAUGCCUAUGUGUCAUUUGUAUGACCUCUUUUGAGAAGCGUCUAUUCAGAUAUUUUACCCAUUUUUAAUUAUAUUAUUAGAUUUCUUCCUAUUUAGUUGUUUGAGCUUUGCAUAGAUUCUGGUUAUUGAUCAGAUGGGUAGUUUGCAAAUAUUUUCUCCCAUUCUGUAGGCUGUCUCUUCACUUUGUCAUUUCCUUUGCUGUGCAGCUUUUUAACUUGAUGUGGAAAUUUCUGGUUUGUAUAGUAAGUAUAUAUUUAAAUUCAUAAGAAACUUCCAAACUGUUUUUCGAAGUGACAGCAUUAAUCCUGAAUUUCCACUAACAUUGUACAAGAGUUCUAGUUGCUCCCGAUUCUUACAAAAAUUCAGAAUUGUUGAUCUUUAAGUUCAGGCAUCCUCAUGGUGUGAGGGGUCGUCACAUUUCCCUGAUGUGUAAUGCUGCAGUGCAUCUUUUUAUGUGUUUAUUGGUUGUUUCGGGAAGUGUUUGCUCAAAAUUUUCUGCCCAUUUUGAUAAAGUUGUUUUGUCUUCUUCUUACUGAUCUUCCAGGGUUCUUUUUAAUUUUUGCAUACCAUUACUUUGCCAAAUACCUGUGUAUAUUUUCUCCUGGUCUGCAACUUGCCCUUUCAUUUUCUUCAUGGUGUCUUUUGUAGACCAAAAACUUUUAAUUUCAAUAAGGCCCAUUUAUCAAUUUUUUUCCUCGAAAAUUUUAUGUGCCCUGAGAAAUCUUUGCCUGCCCAAGUUGUGAAGAUUUUCUCUUAUGUUUUUCUCUAGAAGCUUUACAAAUUUAGCUUUUAUUUUUGUCUGUGAUACAUUUCAAGUUAUGGUAUAGGUAAGGGUUGAAGUUCACUUUUUUCAUGUAUAGAUCUUCACUUGUUUUAGCACCAUUUAUUCAAAGACUAUCUUUUUCCCCAUCAAAUUACUUUGGUAACUUUGUUAGGAAUCAACAUAUUAUGUAUGUCCAGAAACAGGACAUCUGAUUCUGUUCCACUGACGAAUUGUCUAAACUGAAACCUAUACCACAUGUCUUCAUUACUCGCUUUCCUGUAAUCUUGAAAUAAAGUAGAUAAGUCCUCAACAUUCAUUCUUUGUAAAAAUUGCUUUGAUUAUUCUAGAUUAUUUGUACUUCCAUGUAGAUUUUGGAAUCGCUUUGUCAAUUUCAACCAAAAAUCAGGAGAGCUGACUUCUUAACAAUAUUGGCAAUUCACUUUGUCUCCACAAUGUUUCAUAGUUUUUUACACAGAGAUUUUGCUCAUCUUGUAAGUAUUUUCAAAUGGUACUAUAGACAGUAUUAUUUAUAUAAUUUAAUCUUCCAAAUUGCCACAAUUUAGGAAAACAACUGAUCUUUUGUUUACUGACCAUUGUAUCUUAUGACCUUGCUAAAUUCGCUUAUUUUAGUAACUUUUUGUAAAUUCCUUAGGAUUUUAAAGUACAUUAUUAUUUCUUCUAUGAAUGGAUUCAGUUUUACCUCCUCCUUUCGAAUCUUAUGUCGGUAUUUCCUCUUACCUUAUUGCACCACCUAGGACUUUUGGUACAAUGUUGAAUGAUCAUGGCAAAAGUGGACAUUCCUGCCUCACUCCCAACCUGAGGAGGAAAACAUUAUGUCUUUCACUAUCAAAUUUGAUAAUACCUGUAGGUUUUUCAUGACAGCAUUUUUUCAGGUUGAUGAAUUUCCCUUCUACGCCAGUGUUUUAAGAGGAUUUUAUUUUUUUAAAAAAAAGUACAUCGUGAAUGAGUAUUGCAUAUUGUCAAAUGCUUUUAUAACAUCUAUCUAGAUCAUCACCUGGGUUUUCUGCUUUAAACUGCUAGAAUUGCAUUCAUUGAUUGGUCAAUUGCACUGAUUAACUUUGCAUUUCUAGGAUAAGCACUCUUGGUCAUAGUGUAUUACCCUCUACAUAUAUUCCUAGAUUCAACAUACUGAAAUAUUUUAAGGAUGUUUGCAUGUAUAUUCCUUUUUUUUUUUUUUUUUUUUUUUUUGGAGACAGAGUCUUGCUCUGUCUCCCAGCCUGGAGUGCAGUGGUACGAUCUCAGCUCACUGCAACCUCCACCUCCCAGGUUCAAGUGAUUCUCCUGCCUCAGCUUCCUGAGUAGCGGGGAUUACAUGCGUACACCACCACACCCAGCUAAUUUUUUGUAUUUUUAGUAGAGAUGGGGUUUCACCAUGUUGCCCAGGCUGGUCUUGAACUCCUGGCCUCAAGUGAUCCACCCAGCUCAGCCUCUCAAAGUGCUGGGAUUACAGGCGUGAGCAUGGUGCCCAGCUGCAUGUAUAUUCCUUGUGGACAUUGGCCUAUAAGAUUUUUUUCUUGUAGUAUCUUUUCUCUGAGUUUGAUAUCAGGAUUAUGCUGAUCCCAUAAAUUAAGUUAGAAAGUCUUUCCUCCUCCUUUACUUUCUGCAAGUUUGUAUAAAAGUGAUACUACUACUUCCUUAAAUAUUUGAUUGAAUUCACUAGAGAAGUCACUGGAGCCCGGAAUUUUCCUUGUGUGAAGGUUUUUAAUUACAAAGUUAAUUUCUUUAACGGUUAUAAAGCUAUUCAGAUUAUCUAUUUUUUCUUCACUGGGCUUUAGUAAUUUUUCUUUUGAAAAAUUUUCCCAUUUCCUCUGGGUUGUCAAAUUUGUUGCCGUAAAGCUUCUAUAAUAUCCCCAUAUUAUUUCUUUAAUCUCUACAUAGUCUGUAAUUUUUAUUCCCUCUUUUAUUAGUGAUGUUGGUAGUUUGUUUUAUGACUUUUUAUUAGGAGUUUAUCAAUUUUAUUGAUCUUUUCAAAGAACUUUUUAUCUUAUUGACUUUCUUUAUUAUUCCUUUUUCUAUUACAUUGUUUUCUGCUAUUAACUUGAUUUCCUUUCUUCUACUUACAUUAGGUUUAAUUGGCUCCUCUUUUUCCAACUUCUAAAAGUAAAGCUUAAAUCAUUGACCUUGGACUUUUUAUAUUUUCUAAUAAAAAUCAUUUAAAGUUAUAAAUUUGUCUCUAAUCAUUACAAAAAUUUUGAUAGUCUGUGUUCUAAUUCUUAUUUAGGAAAAAUUAUUUUAAAAUAUCUUUUGUGAUUUUCUCUUUGAUCCAUGUAUUAUUUAAAAGCAUGUUGCUCAGUUUCCAAAUACUUGGGGAUUUUCUAGAUAUCCUUCUGCUAUUAACUUCUAUUUUAGUUCCACUGAAUUUAGAUAACAUGUUCUAUAUUAUUUUGGUCCUCUUAAAUGUAUAAAGUUGUUUUCUGCCCCAGAUAUGGUCCAUUAUAAUGAAAGUUUUGUGUUCAGUUGGAAACAAUGUGGAUUCUAUGAAUAUGGUGAAUUGCGUUGAUUGAUUUAUUGCGCUGUUGAUUAAACUGACUUUGCAUUCCUAGGAUAUAGAACACUACACCUAAAAAUCUGUAUUUAGGUAGAAGGUUCUAUAGGCAUCAAUUAAAUCAAGUUGGUUAGUAGUAUUGUUCAAGUGUCCUUCCCCUUUAUUCAUUUUUUCUACUUGUUCUAUAAGUUACUGAGAAACAAGUAUGACAAUUUGUAAAUAUAAGUGUAGAUUUCUCUACUUCCCCCUUCAUUUCUGUCCAUUUCUUUGUCAUAUUUUGAAGUUCUAUUAUUAGGUGAAUAUAUGUUUACAAUUUUUCUCUUUCUGAUAAAUUUAUCAUUAUGAAAUGUUCUCGUUUAUUUCUUGUUCUGCAUAUUUCUUGUUCUGAAGUUUACUUUUUCUGAUAUUUAACUAGCCCCUCCAACUUUGUUAUAAUUGGUGCUACAUGGUAUAUUUUUUUCCAUCCUCUUACUUUUGACCUACCUGUGCCUUUAAAUUAUUGAGGUCUUCAGACAACAUAGAGUUGAGUCUUGCCUUAUUAUACAGUCUAAAAAUAUUUGUCUUUUUAUUGGAAUUUUUAGACCAUUUUCAUUUUAUAUAAUUAUCAGUAUAGUUGGGUAUAAAUCUACCAUUUGUCAUUUGUUCUCUGUUUAUUUCAUCUGUUCUUCAUCCUUUAUUUCUCUUUUCUUGAUUUCUUUUAGAGGAAUUAAAAAUGUUUAUGGUUCUAUUUUAUCUCCACUGUGAGUUCAUUAGCUAUAACUCUGGCUUCAUGUUUAGUGGUUGCAUGAGGGUAUACAAUAUGUAUCAUUAGCUCAUUACAAAUAUACUAUUAUAACACUUUAUGUACAAUGUAAGACCUUACAACCAUAUACUUCUGUUUCCUCCAUUCUGUCCAUCAUGCUAUCAUUACAUAUUUUGCUUUAAUAUGUUAUAAGCCACACAGUACGUUGUUAUUAUUUUUGUUUAAACAAUCAAUUAUCUUUUAAGGAAAUUUAAAAAUGAGAAAAGCCUUUGUAUUUACCCACAUACUUACCAUUAAGUGUUUUUCAUCCUUUGUCCACUUAGUAUCACUUCACAUUAGAAACACCUGGUGAGUCUUAUUAUAUUUGUUAGUGUGAGGAAAAUAAUUGAAAGUAUACACAGUUACCCAGCUCCUUGUCUCUUAUAAGGGGUUGAUUAGGAGUAUCCAGUGGUGAUAUCUUUAUUGCUAGAUCAUGCCAUGGACUAUUAGUGCUCUCUUUACAAUUGGAAAUAAAGUUAUUAGCAACUUAAAGUGUAAUCAGAUUAGAGACCCAAUUUUGGAAUAGAUAGAUAUGAUUAUACUUAAAUAUAAUAUAUAACUAUAUAUAAUUUUGUACAUAUGCAUAACGUGUGUGUGUGUGUGUGUGUGUGUAAGGAAUUGGCUCCUAUGAUUAUUGAGGCUGACAAGUCCCAAAAUCUGCAGUUAGUAAGCUGGAAACAGCAGAGCCAAUGGUGUACUUCCAGUUCAAAGGCUGGCAGGCUCAAGACUCAUAAAAAGCUGAUACUUCAGUUCAAAAAUGGCAGGAAAAAAAAAACCACCUCCCAGCUCAAAGCAGUCAGGCAGGAUGAAAUUCUCUCUUACUUGCAGGAGAGUCAGUCUGUCUGUUCUAUUCAGAUCUUCAAUAGAUUUGAUGAAGCCCACCCACAUUUCUUAGCCACUGGCAUUUAGCAAUUGGAUUAUGUUUUACCUUGCAUAGUUUUCUUUGUGCUUAUCUUGCUUUUGAUCUAUUGAGCAUCAUGGAUGGGUGGUUUUGUAUGUUUCAUCAAAUUUGGAGCAUUUUUUACCAUUAUUUCUUCAAAUAUUUUUUCUCUUCCCUCUUUCCUUUCCUUCUCAGCUUCCAAUUACAAGUAUGUGAUCCAUAUACUUGCAUGAAUAUUUUCCCACAGGUUACUAAAGAUUCAUUUAAAUUUUCUUUUUAGUCUCUUUUGACUGAAUUUUAGUUUUGAAAGUUUCUAUUGCAACUUUCAAGUUCACUGAUCUUUUCUUCUUCACGUCUAAUCUGUUCAUUUCAUAAAGAAAUUUUUUUAUUUAAGAUUUUUAUUUUUGGCCCUUGUAUUUCCUUUUUAAUUUUUCUCCUUCUUUGAUGAUUACUUUCAUGUUUCCUUUAAAUUCGUGUGUAUAUCUGUAAUUGGUGUUUUCAAUCCUUUGUGUGCUAUUUCCAACAUCCAUCAUUCCUGAGUGUGUUUCUAUUGACUGGUUUUUCUCUUGGUAGGAGUUGCACUUCUGUGCAUCUUUACAUGUCUGUAUUUCUUAUAUGACACCAAACAUUGUUAAUUAUACCUUACUUAAUGCUAGAUUUUGUUGUCCUCCUCUAAAGAUUGGUAGAUAUUUUUCUGGCAGCCAGCUGAGUUACUUAGAAAUUACCCUGACCCUUUUGAGGUUUGUUUUGAAGCUUUGACUGAAGGAAAGGGGUUAGAUUAGACUUUAUUUAGGGCUUCUUUACUCCUCCUGCCAAGACAUGACUUUUCUGGGAUCUCAACUGAACGCACCAGAUUUUCUACAAGGACGCUCCACUCUGGCUGGUAGGAAUGCAGGGGUCCCCCCCAUGUCCCACAUGAGCUCUGAAAGUGCCUGCUCACUGCUUUCCAAUCACCCUUUGCCCAGCCUCCUGGAGUUUCAUGAUAGACAUCCACAACCUAAUUUUUAUAACAGAUCCAUGGGGAACCCUGUUGUACUAAUCUGUUCUCACACUGCUAUAAAGAAUGACCUGAGACUGGGUAAUUUAUGAGUUAAAGAGGUUUAGUUGACUCACAGUUCCACAGGCUGUACAGGAAGCAUGGUUGGGGAAGCCUCAGAAAACUUAAAAUCAUGGAAGAAGGGGAAGAGAAAGCAAACACAUCCUUCACAUGGCGGAGCAGGAGGGGAAGUGGUAAUCUCAUGAGAACUCACUCACUAUCACAAGAACAGCAAGGGGGAAAUCUGCCCCCAUGAUCUAAUCAUCUCCCCCCAGGCCUCUCCUCCAACACUAAAGACCACAAUUCAACAGGAGAUUUGGGUAGGGACAUAGAGCCAAGCCAUAUCAACUGUACAGAUUUCUGGAUAUUUUUCUGUACAUUACUCCCUCCUCUCAAAACUGCUGCAUUGGGGAUUAAGUUUCCAACACAUAAACUUUGUGGGACACAUGCAACCAUAGCAAUUCCCUUCCAGGGAGGUUCUGCAAAGAGGCCUGCCACUGAUUCCUCAUUGCAUGGAGAUGAGAUCUCCCUUAUUCUGCAAGGCCAUGUGGUUUUUCCAUCUCUUUCUAAUCUGAGUGUUCAGGUAAAAGUCCAUACCUGCUAACAGGGGCAAGCAGGUGCUAAAAACUAGUGAAAAAACUAGUGAAGAGGGCCCAACUAACUGAAGAGUAGCAUGCCCACCCAAAGGGUCAGCUGUGACCAAGAUCCCACAAAGGUAGCCAUGCACAAAUGCAGGCCAGGGCUGCUUGACUUCAGAUUCUUCAAAAGAAGCUGCAAGUCACAAUUUUUACAUGAAAUGUCCUGUGUGUUAAAAGUUAGCAACUGUGGGCCAGGCUCGGUGGCUCAUGCCCGUUAUCCCAGCACUUUGGGAAGCCGAGGAGGGUGGAUCACAAGGUCAGGAGUUCAAGACCAACCUGGCCAAUAUGGUGAAACCCUGUCUCUACUAAAAAUACAAAAAUUAGCUGGGCUUGGUGGCACAUGCCUGUAAUCUCAGCUACUCGGAAGGCUGAGGCAGGAGAAUUGCCUGAACCCGGGAGGCGGAGGUUGCAGUGAGCUGAAGUCAUGCCACUGCACUCCAGCCUAGGUGAAAAAGGGAGACUCUGUCUCAAAAAAUAAAAAAAAAGUUAGCAACUGUGGAGGACAAACAAAAUGCUGACCCUGUCUUCAGACUUCUCCUUGGAUGGAAGGGUGGCAGACCCAAAGCCUUUGGCUUAAGAAAUCUCCCCAGGGCCAGGUCCUAACAAAACGUGGCUUCUCCCAUGAUGUCCCCCAUGUGUCAAUGCUAAACCGACCCUCUGGCUCUGACAAUUCAAAGUCAACUCAACAAAUGCUUACUAAGCAUUUGCUGCCUGACAGGCUCUGGCCUUGAUGUUGGGAAUAAGACUGGACCGGUCACUCAUAUCUCUGCCCUCAGAGAUGUGACCUCAGAGAUUAAACCUCUAGUGUUUACUAGAGGUUAAACACUAGUGAGGAGGCAGAUAUUAGCCCAACCAUCGCAAGAAUACAUGACUACAAACUGAGAUAAAUAUUAGGAAGAAAAAUUGGAGGAAACUAAGAGAGUUUAUUACAGCAGAUUUUACUGGCUAUGAUAUUUGAACUGAAUGUUGAAGGAUGGAUAGCAUUCAAAUAAUUAAAGAGAUUGGAUGAGAUUGAGAGUAAAGCUUUCCAUAAAGUGAGCACAGUACGUGCAAAGGCCCUGAGGCAGAGCAGAGUGUAGGCAUUCUACAAACUCAAAGGCCAGUGUGGCUGGAGUGCAGGGAGAAAGAGAGAAAGUGCACACAGGUCUUCUAACACCUAAAAAAAAUGUGUUAGCCACCUCGUUUUCCCCAGUGUAGCCAGAAAUGCAUUGGUAAGGAAAGACCCAGGUUAAAGCAAGCCCGAGUGUGUGACCACCCUCUGCAUGGUGGCUCCUGUCCUGCUACCCAUUCCAGGAGGACACAGCAAAACCAGGGGCCACAUCUUUGAUUCUGUAACUUGCAUCACAGGUCCUCCAAAUACAGCUCCUUCCCCAUCAGUCCCUGGAUACUUCUAAGUUCAUUUCCUGAUCAAUUUCCCUCUGGCCUAUACAUCUUAACCAUUGAGGAUGUUGUCUUGCUCUCGGCCUGGUCCGUCUGUGUUUGCCACUUACUGUGUGUCCCCUCAGGGCCCAGACCAGAGCCACAGACAUGGGCUGGACCCCUCCCUAGUGGGUGAAGAGCCCUGGUGUCAUCAUCCAGGAAGAGGCUGAUCCUCCCAAGGAAAUGGGACCAGAGGGAGGGGAACUCAGGCUGUCCCUCUCUGGAGCUGACGUAGGCCCAUCUUCACCCUGGUUUUGACUUGAGUUUAGAUUUGUCUGAGGCCAGGAAGGUUAGUGAGGCAGCAGCGGGUGGGCAAAGAGACCCUUACCCAGUGAAGACAACUGGGGUGAGGCCGCCUCAGGGUAAGGCCCUCUGAAGAGGAGAGGGGUUUUCCCGUGAGCCCAUAACAUCGAGUCACCUGCUGCCUCCUGAUUCAGUCAACAUUGCUGAGUGUCUGCAGCUGAGCCCACUCUCUGUGCUGGCACUGGAAUCCUAGGUGACAAAAUGCCCAGGCCCUGUUCUGAGGAAGCAGAUGCCCCUGAGGAAGUGGACAACAGUCCAGCAACCCCAUGUGGCAGUGGAAGCACAAGUGAGGGCAUGGCUAUGCCCAGGAAUUCUCUGAACCACAAGAGGGUCGAACUCAGGGCCUGAGCCAGUCUUGGGGGUCAGCAAGAGCAUCCCAGAGGGAGUGACAUAGAAGCUCUCCACUCCAGGCUAGCUGGGAGUUGUAGGCCAGGUGGAGUACAUUCCAGGCAGAGGAAACUGCAGAUACAAAAUCCUGGGAGCAGGAGAGAGUGCAGAGAGUUUAAGGAAGAAAGAAGUCACAUGAAGCGAGAUGGGGCUGCAGGAGAAGGAACCUGUACAA